CCAAAGAAAAUCCAUGAAUUUAUUUAAAAAAAAAAAAAAACCAGCAUGAAACUCAUAUUGCAUCCCUCGCACAGAAGAUCUAUGCAUGGGAACCAUAUGAAUCAAGCUCUAAUUCUCUAUACAGGAUAGCUGUUUCCAAACUGGACCAGCUCUCAAAAUGGAUUAUCAAGCCCAAGGGCCCAAGCAAAAUAGAUCAACAUGGGACGAAAGACGCGAAAUCACAACAGAACCUAACCUAAUCAAUCAACCAAUCAGAUAAUAAUAAUAAUAAUAAUAAUAAUGAUUACGACAGACAAAAAAAAAAGCUGUAAAUUUUCAAAACCUAAAAAGGAAGAAACCCUCGGUGAAACCUUAAAAUCAACAACACAAAAAAAAUCAAACGACUUCAAGAUGGAAAUCUGAAGAAACAACUUGGCUUUUGAUCUUUUAUUCAAGCCUCUUUAGUUGAACCUGGUCGAAGGAGAUGAAGAUGCAUAAUGAAAAAUAAUUUUUUUUUUUUACUCAUAGCACCUGGUUGCAGUAGAAGAGGAAGAAAGAUUCAAGCCCUCUUGAGUCUCUACUGAUCAAACCCAAACCUAAGGGUCUGCUUGUCUCUGCAUCUUCCUCUCCUUCUUCAACUCAGCCUCUCUCAAUUAUUUUGCUAUAAAAGCUAAUAAAGGGUUCUGGGUUUUUUUUUUCUUGACUAGAUUGAAGCCCUUGGAGUAAAAGCUGUGCUUUUGUUCCUUCUCCAACGCAACCUCUCUUGGUUAUUUUGCCACAAAAGCUAAUCAAGGGUUCUAGGUUAUUUGUUUUUCUUGACCAAAUCCAGGCCUUCUGAGGUCUGGAGUGAAAGCUGUGUUUCCGGUGCAAUAAGUCAAACGAAAAAAGAGGAAUAUGAUACGCGGUAGGAACGUAAAAAAGGUACAAAAAAAUAAAAUAAAAAAAAUAACAAAU
rnacentral:lncRNA from 1 species